rnacentral:ncRNA from 1 species
ACAAAAACAAUGAUGGAGAGAAGUAAAAAGAAUAUUCACCCUUAGUGAGUUGGGGAUAGUGUGAACCCAGCGGCAGAGUUUUUUUGAAUAACACUCCGGAGUUGCAAACUGAAAUAUUUGUAAACUGUAAUUUAAACUAAUGUUUUAUUUAGGUUCAAAUAAACUAGGUGCGCCGUAUUUCAUGCGUUAUUUGAAUACCAGUAGUAGCUGGAAAAAAAGAGACCAACAUGGUAAUUUAGGUGGCACCGCGGAUAAGCGUCAAUUCGUCCUAUUA